AAACCCAAGGCAAAGAGAUCUAGAAAGGAAAGAUCAGUUGUUUGGCAUUACUUUACCAAACGACAAAACAAAGCUUUAGGCGGAAAGGUUCCAUCAAAGUGCAACAAAUGUGGUCAUGUUCUCAUGUUUGAUAGUAAGCAAGGUACGGGAAAUUUUACUCGACAUAUAUCAAGCUGCUAUGGUACUACUUAUAAAAGAUGUUGGUCAAAUGCUUUUAGAUACUGACAUGAAGUUAAAGACAUCUAGUUUUAAUCAAAAUAUGUUUCGUGAAAUGCUUGUUGCUGCUAUUGUGAUGCAUGAGUUGCCUUUGUCAUUUGUAGAAUAUAAGGCAUUUAGGGAUUUGUUUAAGUAUUUGCAGCCCGAUGUGAAUAUCAUAUCUAGAAAUACGGUAAAAUCAGAUAUAUUGAAAAUGUAUAAAAAAGAAAAGGAAAAGGUGAAAGAGAUGCUUAUGGAAUCACCUGGCAGAUUAUGUCUAGCUUCAGAUUUAUGGACUUCUACUGAUGGGUAUUUAGCAAUUACUGUUGAUUUUAUGGAUAAAGAUUAGAUUUUGCAAAAAAGAGUUUUAUCAUUUUCUUUUAUGCCACCACCUCAUACCGGUAUUGCUUUAUGUGAAAAAGGGUUUUCUAUUUUAGUAGAAUGGGGCAUAGAAAACAAAAUAUUAUCUGUGACGUUAGAUAAUGCUUUUUCUAAUGACACUUUUGUUGGGCUUUUGAGAGAACAACUGAAGGGAAAGUCACCACUUGUUUCUAAGGGUAAUUUUUUUUCACUUGAGAUGUUGUGCACAUAUUUUGAACUUGAUUGUGCAAGAUGGGUUAAAAGAAAUUGAUGAGUGUGUUUAUAAAGUUAGAGAAAGUAUCAAGUAUGUGAAAGGUUCACAACAAAGGAAGGAAAAAUUUUUGGAUUGUGUUCAGUUGCUUUCUAUUAAGAAGAAAAAGGGAUUAAGGCAAUAUGUUGUUACAAGGUGAAAUUCUACUUUUUUGAUGCUUGAUGGCGCUCUUUAUUAUCGACGUGCUUUUUGUCACUUAGAAUUAAGUGAUUCUAAUUUAAAGCAUUGUCCAAAUGCAUUAGAGUGGGAAAAGAUUAGAAAGAUAUGUACUUUUCUUGGAGUAUUUUAUGAUGUGACCAAUGUUUUUUCGGGUACCAAAUAUCCGACUGCAAACUUGUACUAUCCACACGUCUUUAUGCUUAUCUUACGUUGUUUGAGGGUAUGAGUUCAAAUGAUGGGUAUAUCAAGAAUAUGGCAGAACUGAUGAUGACCAAGUUUCAAAAAUAUUGGUCAGAUUUUAGUCUUACCUUAGCUAUAGCCGUAGUAUUGGAACCUAGACACAAUGGAUGAUUCUACACAUGCCUAUGGAAUGAGCGGAAGGCUUAAGGAUUUUGAUCAAUUUCAAAGUAAAGAUUUUACAAUUAACAAAAAAUCAGAAUUGCAAAUGUAUUUGGAGUAGACAAGGGUUGACAGAAGCUGCGAACUUGAUGUGUUGGCUUUUUGGAAAGCCAAUGAGUUUAGAUAUCCCGCACUUGCAAGAAUGGCAAGACACUUUUUGACCAUUCCGGAAUCUAUUGUCACAUCGGAGUCUACAUUCAGUGCAAGUGGAAGAGUCCUUAAUGAACAUCGAAGUUCACUUAGCAAAGAUACCGUUGAGGCUUUCAUAUGCACAAAAGAUUGGUUAUUUGGAGAUUAUUGUUCGAACCAUGUUAGUGUCAAUGAGCUCACAGAAGAUAUAAUGUCGUUUGACAUUAGUCGUGAAUCAGAUGCUUCAAAUUCCGUGAACAAUCCUAAGGUAUCCACUCCAAAUGCUUCAAGUAGUGUUGAUUGUUAAAAAUCAAAGAACAUCUCAAGGUUUGAUUGUUUGGAAUUGAAGAUCUUGAGAAAGAAAGGCAUAUGGGAACUUGAAUGUUGAAACUAUUUGGAUGUUACGAUUAGACUUUUAUGGAUUUCGUUUUAAGUUUGUUAAGACAUUAUGUGUUUAUGCAUUUUUAUGACUUUUGUGAACCUUUGGCGACUAAAUUUGCAUUAAACAGGUUCCUUAAUUGCUAAUUUCAAA